CCUACGGGUGGCUGCAGUGGGGAAUAUUGCACAAUGGGCGCAAGCCUGAUGCAGCGACGCCGCGUGAGCGAUGAAGGCCUUCGGGUCGUAAAGCUCUGUCCUAAGGGAAGAAUAAUGACGGUACCUUAGGAGGAAGCCCCGGCUAACUACGUGCCAGCAGCCGCGGUAAUACGUAGGGGGCGGGCGUUAUCCGGAAUCACUGGGGGUAAAGGGUGGGUGGGCGGCCCAGCAAGUCAGGGGUUAAAUCCCGCGGUUCAACCUAGGUCAGCUCUUGAAACUGUAGGGCUUGAGUGCAGGAGAGGAGAGCGGAAUUCCUGGUGUAGCGGUGAAAUGCGUAGAUAUUAGGAGGAACACCAGUGGCGAAGGCGGCUCUCUGGACUGAAACUGACGCUGAGGCACGAAAGCGUGGGGAGCGAACAGGAUUAGAUACCCCUGUAGUC
rnacentral:rRNA from 1 species